rnacentral:rRNA from 1 species
CGAGUCUUAACUGGGCGUUAAGUUGCAGGGUAUAGACCCGAAACCCGGUGAUCUAGCCAUGGGCAGGUUGAAGGUUGGGUAACACUAACUGGAGGACCGAACCGACUAAUGUUGAAAAAUUAGCGGAUGACCUGUGGCUGGGGGUGAAAGGCCAAUCAAACCGGGAGAUAGCUGGUUCUCCCCGAAAGCUAUUUAGGUAGCGCCUCGUGAACUCAUCUUCGGGGGUAGAGCACUGUUUCGGCUAGGGGGUCAUCCCGACUUACCAACCCGAUGCAAACUGCGAAUACCGAAGAAUGUUAUCACGGGAGACACACGGCGGGUGCUAACGUCCGUCGUGAAGAGGGAAACAACCCAGACCGCCAGCUAAGGUCCCAAAGUCAUGGUUAAGUGGGAAACGAUGUGGGAAGGCCCAGACAGCCAGGAUGUUGGCUUAGAAGCAGCCAUCAUUUAAAGAAAGCGUAAUAGCUCACUGGUCGAGUCGGCCUGCGCGGAAGAUGUAACGGGGCUAAACCAUGCACCGAAGCUGCGGCAGCGACGCUUAUGCGU